CUAGCUGGUCUGAGAGGAUGACCAGCCACACUGGAACUGAGACACGGUCCAGACUCCUACGGGAGGCAGCAGUGGGGAAUAUUGCACAAUGGGCGCAAGCCUGAUGCAGCCAUGCCGCGUGUAUGAAGAAGGCCUUCGGGUUGUAAAGUACUUUCAGCGGGGAGGAAGGGAGUAAAGUUAAUACCUUUGCUCAUUGACGUUACCCGCAGAAGAAGCACCGGCUAACUCCGUGCCAGCAGCCGCGGUAAUACGGAGGGUGCAAGCGUUAAUCGGAAUUACUGGGCGUAAAGCGCACGCAGGCGGUUUGUUAAGUCAGAUGUGAAAUCCCCGGGCUCAACCUGGGAACUGCAUCUGAUACUGGCAAGCUUGAGUCUCGUAGAGGGGGGUAGAAUUCCAGGUGUAGCGGUGAAAUGCGUAGAGAUCUGGAGGAAUACCGGUGGCGAAGGCGGCCCCCUGGACGAAGACUGACGCUCAGGUGCGAAAGCGUGGGGAGCAAACAGGAUUAGA
rnacentral:rRNA from 1 species